UUGUAGUUCUGUUUCAUCAAAUGGAAAUGGGACAUGGACAGUUUCUCCUAUCCCAUGCAGACCAUGCUCCUGAAUUAAAACUGCAGAAUGUGUUAAAGCAUCAUUCAACAUCGUGAGCACAUUUGAGAUACUGUACAGGACAACCUGCUUUUCAUAUUCUCUGUGAAUUUCAAAGACGACUGGGAUUUUCUUCCUCCUCUACCACCCUGAACAGCAAGACCAAUACAUCCUGUAUUUCCUCCUCUUCAGCCUACUUGUGAAGACAAGGAUGAAGACCUCCAUGAUGAGCCAUCUCCACUUAAUGACUGUCUCACAUUGGCCGGCAACUUGUUCCAGGUAUAGUUGUGCCGGAUGUGGAACUCCACAUCUAUGUUCAUGAUGCGGCGGCCAGGGCCGGCGGCGGGGGCCACGACCGCGACC
rnacentral:lncRNA from 1 species